UGAAGAAAUUUUUAUGCCCAUUGGUGGACAAUGGAAUAUGGCUAACAAGAAAAUAAUUGAUGGAGGAAAGGUGGAACGCUGGGCUUGCUUGAACUUUUCUAAAGUACCAGCUUUGGAGGUGGAUAAUUUUUGUAGUGAAUUGAUUAACAUGUGUAACAAAAUUGGGAUGGUAUUUGAAGGAAAGCCAUUGGCAGUCCAGCAAUCAAGCAAUUUUAUGGACAUACAAUCCGCCUUGGAGUCUCUUUUGAGUUAUAUUUCGGA